AAAAGCUGUGGGAGCCAGGCACAUACCUCACAUCAGGCUCUGCGGUGGCAGCAUGUAGUGGCAACCUCCCGUUCUUGUCAGGGGUCUGCUGCUGAGGCAACUGUUCAUUUGGCUCAGAAGCUUUGUCAUGUGGGCUGGAGAUCCAGAGAGAUGAGGAGUCAUUGCUGCUGGAGAGUCAUCAUCAGUGACUAGUAUUUGAAGAAAAAGAAGUGACUUCACCACUGGUUCAGUUGGUACUGUUAAGUAUUCCUGCUGUGAGUCAGAGCAGAGAAAUCUAGCCACAAAAGGGAAAUCUCCAUCUCCUGAGCAGAAUAGUUGCUUACCUGGAGGAUGCUAUGGCAGGAAGAUGAGGACAAGGGUACACUCCUUCACGUGGAUCUCUGAACAUCUCUGCCCUUUUGCCUCUAGGUAAAACCAAGACACUUCCCCUUUGGUUCUGCUGGGCUCAGUCUGCUUUCCCCAGAGCAAUUAUCCUUUUGUAAAAGGAAGGGAAGUAAAACUGUGGAUGGAUGGAUGGAUGGAUGGAUGGAUGGAUGGAUGGAUGGAUGGAUGGAUGGAAAAAUGAAUGAAGUUUUGCCCCUGCCUCUUCCUGCAGAACACAGGCUCCAUUCCUGUUAAAGGAUGGUGGUGUGAAGCCACAAAGAUUCACACUUCCUCACCCACAAGUCCUAUCUGCCAGAGCAAGGAGAGGUAGGUGGAGCAGGCUAUCAUCCCGCCUGGGAGCCUGAGCCAGGAGGAAUGGAUGAGUGCUCAUGUUGGGAUCUGAAUAAAGAUAACUGACAUGAAUUCCAUUUCUGUAGGGUGACACAACUUCAAGUAGGAUGUUUUGACCUGUGUGAUUGUAGAUGGGGAUUGAGAAGGAAGACAGAUGAAUGGUCCUCUGACGCUUCACAUGACAGAGAGCAGAAAAUGCUGGGACAGCUUUGUGGGAGGAGGCCCUGGGGAGGAUCAUUCAGGAAUGCCCUGGGAGACUACAGUAGUGUAAGGAAAAAUAUUGCCCUAGGAUUCCCGCCUUCCCCACGCAAAUAAUGGUAUGUCCAUCAAGUGUCGCACCCUCCCCAGUUAAUGCCUAUCACUGGUUGUAACACCCUUUGCUCUGGAAAGUUCACUGUUCUGUGUUCCCGCAUUGGUUUCCUCAUUAAACUACUCCUUCCCCCUUGCCCUCACUGGUUCUGUUCAAGACUACCUCACCCCUGCUCCUUCCACAAGCCUCUUCCCUACUGGUCUCUUUGUACCUUGAUCCUGCCUUUCCUUCCCGGUUAUAAUCCCCGACCCCUCCUCUGGAAGGAGCUCUCAGAGUCAGCUUCCCUUAUGUAAGGUUGUCUCCUUGCUCUUUUCCUGCCUCAUCCUGCUUCCUUCAUCCCUUGUUGAGCCUUCAAUAAACCUACGUGAACUGCA